GUCUCGAUGGUAUGAAUCAGAAUUUCAGCAGGCAAGUAGAGUCAUUACUUCUCUGUCUCUCAGUUGAGACAGCGGACCAAAGCAGACCAACAUGAACGGAGGGAAUAUCUAAUUUACGUUCUGCACAACGAUCUCAAGACAAGAGAUUUCCAUCCAGUGCGUGGACAAUGCUGACGGGUUCUGUGGUGUGAUCGUCUAUGGCAAUCAAACAUUUCCAGUUCCGUCUCCACGAGGUGCUAUAGGCUGGACUCUUUUUGGUGAUGGACAAGGCCCUUACAGUAGCUCUGUGCGACCUUUCCAGCCUGUCUCCUCUAAUGAUGGAGACGUGGAGGACACGGAUUUGGAUCCUCCACAGACUUACAGUUAUUCACUAGCCAGUUCUGUGCCACCUUUCCAACCUGCUAACUCUGACGAUGGAGACGUAGAGGACACAGACUGGGAUCCUCUGCAUACUGCUAAUAAUUCACCAGCCAGGUAAAAAAAAAAACAGGAAAGAAAAGAAAGGAAAGAGAUCCAUCAAUCUACAGAUUAGCAAAUACAGACUCAAAGUACACAGUUAAGUAUUUGAAUUAUCAUAAUAUCAGUCAUUCUAAACUUCUCUGUUGUGUCUCCCACAGUCUAAAGGAGGGUGAAAGAGCUGACUGAAGAAGAAGAAAAGAAGAGGACCAAUGGCUUAGUACUGUACAUAGUAAUGUAGCGACAGCAUUGUCUGUAGAUCUAUUGGGUUGGGUGCAUAUUGCUGCUGAUCCAUCAUGUGACAGUGAAAAUGUUAUUCAGCACUUGAGUUUGUUGGUAAGCACAGUGUUUCAGCACCCUACCAUUUCAUUAGGACCUGUGGCUUUCCGUGCAUUUUUCCUGUUUUCAAAGCUUUAUGAUAAUUCAGUUAUGUAUGUAUUGUUAUUGUUUACAUUUUUUUUUCUCAGGACAUCAGUGGAAUGUUCUAAACUAAGCACAAAAAGUAAUGAAAUUUGUGUUUGGUAGAUUAUUUCUUUGUUGAAACAAUGCUUGUUGGAAAUAAAUCUUGGAAAGGUUGUUUAUAUCCCUUUUAAAUGGUGCCACAUUUGUAAGGAACAUGCAUUUGUCGGAUGAGCAGCAGAGCUGAGUAUGUGGCUUGCACCCAUGUAAAAUUUGCCAAAUCGGCUCUGCCAAUGCCAAACAGCUUUUUUGUUUUUGCUGUUGACUCUUGUUUGGUUUUGUUUGGUGGA